CUGGCGGCGUGCCUAAUACAUGCAAGUAGAACGCUGAAAGCCUGGUGCUUGCACUAGUCAGAUGAGUUGCGAACGGGUGAGUAACGCGUAGGUAACCUACCUCAUAGCGGGGGAUAACUAUUGGAAACGAUAGCUAAUACCGCAUGACAAUUAAGUACUCAUGUACUAAAUUUAAAAGGAGCAAUUGCUUCACUAUGAGAUGGACCUGCGUUGUAUUAGCUAGUUGGUGAGGUAACGGCUCACCAAGGCCACGAUACAUAGCCGACCUGAGAGGGUGAUCGGCCACACUGGGACUGAGACACGGCCCAGACUCCUACGGGAGGCAGCAGUAGGGAAUCUUCGGCAAUGGGGGCAACCCUGACCGAGCAACGCCGCGUGAGUGAAGAAGGUUUUCGGAUCGUAAAGCUCUGUUGUUAGAGAAGAACGGUAAUGGGAGUGGAAAAUCCAUUACGUGACGGUAACUAACCAGAAAGGGACGGCUAACUACGUGCCAGCAGCCGCGGUAAUACGUAGGUCUCGAGCGUUGUCCGGAUUUAUUGGGCGUAAAGCGAGCGCAGGCGGUUAUUUAAGUCUGAAGUUAAAGGCCGUGGCUCAACCAUGGUUCGCUUUGGAAACUGGAUAACUUGAGUGCAGAAGGGGAGAGUGGAAUUCCAUGUGUAGCGGUGAAAUGCGUAGAUAUAUGGAGGAACACCGGUGGCGAAAGCGGCUCUCUGGUCUGUAACUGACGCUGAGGCUCGAAAGCGUGGGGAGCAAACAGGAUUAGAUACCCUGGUAGUCCACGCCGUAAACGAUGAGUGCUAGGUGUUAGGCCCUUUCCGGGGCUUAGUGCCGCAGCUAACGCAUUAAGCACUCCGCCUGGGGAGUACGACCGCAAGGUUGAAACUCAAAGGAAUUGACGG
rnacentral:rRNA from 1 species